UACGUAGGGGGCAAGCGUUAUCCGGAUUUACUGGGUGUAAAGGGAGCGUAGACGGUAUGGCAAGUCUGAUGUGAAAACCCGGGGCUCAACCCCGGGACUGCAUUGGAAACUGUCGGACUAGAGUGUCGGAGAGGCAAGCGGAAUUCCUAGUGUAGCGGUGAAAUGCGUAGAUAUUAGGAGGAACACCAGUGGCGAAGGCAGCUUACCAGACUGUUACUGACGCUGAAGCACGAGAGCGUGGGUAGCGAACAGG
rnacentral:rRNA from 1 species